rnacentral:tRNA from 1 species
UGGGGUGUAGCUCAGUGGCAGAAUGUUUGCCUACCAUGCAUGUGGCCCUGGGUUCAAUUCUCAGUACUAUAA